rnacentral:rRNA from 1 species
CCUACGGGUGACAGCAGUGAGGAAUAUUGGUCAAUGGGCGCGAGCCUGAACCAGCCAAGUAGCGUGAGUGAAGAAGUAUUUCGGUAUGUAAAGCUCUAUCAGCAGGGAAGAAAAUGACGGUACCUGACUAAGAAGCCCCGGCUAACUACGUGCCAGCAGCCGCGGUAAUACGUAGGGGGCAAGCGUUAUCCGGAUUUACUGGGUGUAAAGGGAGCGUAGACGGUUAUGCAAGUCUGAAGUGAAAGCCCAAGGCUCAACCAUGGGACUGCUUUGGAAACUGUAAAACUGGAGUGCAGGAGAGGUAAGCGGAAUUCCUAGUGUAGCGGUGAAAUGCGUAGAUAUUAGGAGGAACACCAGUGGCGAAGGCGGCUUACUGGACUGUAACUGACGUUGAGGCUCGAAGGCGUGGGGAGCAAACAGGAUUAGAUACCCCAGUAGUC